CAUAAAACACAUAAUAAAAGAAUAAAAAAAUACAAAUAAGUAGAUAGUGAAUGACAAUAUAAAAAUGACAAUUGUAGGCAGGUACACAGUAAAAAAUGGGGUGUUAAUGUUCCAGAGUAAAGUUAUUUUAACCCAGUUAGAGUAUUUUCGACAUUUUGGGGAGUAAAGUUGCUCUAUAAGUGGAGUUAAAAGUGAGUGUAAAAAUCUGCAGAAACGCAGUGACAAUUUCAACUCUACAGCAGUGAUGAAAACCUGCCACUCUGCUGUGCUUGUCAAACGUGCAGCAUUUCGGUGAAGGAAGACUGUGAAGGAGCAACGCUAGGCCACUGAUAUUGCUAUAUGAGUAACAUCCUGUGUUGUCCACACCAAAACUUUUUUUUUUUAACUUUACAUAAUUGUAAAUGUGUGCUGAUAUUAGUUGAGGUCAUAUUACAAGUUAUAGCAAUCCGGUUAAUAGAUAUUCUUAGCUAACAUAUUUCAUAGUUUCCCAGGCAAGGUUAAUCUAGCUUUUUAAAUAUAUACUGGUCUUAUAAAACAAUAACUUAGAUCACUGAUUGCAUGACGUGUUUGUUUAACAUGGCUUAACAAUUUUAACAGGUUACUGUUCGAACAAAAAUAGCUAAUGAGCUAGCUAACUUUGGCUAAGUUAUUUGGUAGCUAAUUGGACACUGUGCCUCUUAACUUUAACUAGCCUAAUUUGAUGCAGAAAAUAGCCUAACGUUAUAUUCAACCAGCACAACUUUGUCUUAUUCAGCCGCCCUUUGUUGUGGAUGGAUAGGUAAUUCUUAGUUGAUGUAUUUUAUUUGUUAACAGGGGCAAAAUGCUGUUGCAUGUUCAAUUUGGGGAAGAGCAGAAAUACAUCAAGCUAUCUGAGCUGACAUUCGAUGCUUUCUUGAAAGAAGGCUGGGACAGAGACAUGUCUGCCAUCUUGCUGCUUCUACGUCUGCUACCACCAUCUGCACAAGGUAGAAAGAGGCCGGGAAAGCUUUCUGCGUAUCAAGCUGUAGAUCAGCUCAUCACAUUUCAAAAGGUUGGUCCCAGUGUGUAGCAGCAUCUAGACAACAUCACCAAAAGCAGUCAGCCUUACCCUCUCGCCCAAGAAUCCACACAGAGCACCAUUCACUCCUACUUGCAAGCAUGCACUUCUGUGCAAGGCAACAGGUUCAGUUGGAGCUUUUGAUGAACUCUUUGAAGCCCAUUACGUCUUUGGUACGUCAUACAGUUCUCCAUUCCCUCCAUAUGACAUACAAAUGUCAUAUGGAAGGAAUUACACAACUCUCCAUGUCGUGCCAUAUUGCUUACUCCGGUAAACAUUUUUAUGUUAUACAUGUUUCUGUCAGAGACAAGGCAAUGGGUUUGCAAUGUAAUUUAAAUGACAUUGAAAUGUUUUAUAUUUUUACAAUAAAUUGUGAGUUCUGUGAUCUAGUGUUAUUGUGCUUGUUUUCAUUUGGAUAAUAGGUGAUCU